AAAACAAAGUGAACCUCAUCUCCUCCAAAUUCCUCCUCUUCUCUUUCAUACUUCUAUAAAUUGAUUCUUUCUUUUAUUAUUGGUAUUGUCAAAAUCCUCCUCCUUCUGGCAUUAGCUUAAUCUCCUAUAUAUAUUCCGUAUAUACUGACUAUUAUUGGGCAAUACCCUCUUCCUAUAUGAAUUAUUAGAGUCGUUGCAGGUACUUAAAGAACGAUAAUUAAAGAGACAAUCUUGAGGGAUGGUGAUGAUGGGAUUGGAGAGAUUAAUGGUGAACUUAAAGACGAGAUUAAGAAGAUGCCUGAAAAUGAAGGAACCUAAUUACGACAAGAUUGAGAAAAGUGAGAGCAUGAGAAUCGAGAUAAGUAGUAGGAAAGCUCGUAAACUCAUCGAACAGACACUUAAAAUCGCCGACUCCCCCAAAACUAGAAGCUAUACUUUCUAGUACUGGCAGGUGCUGAGAGUAUUAGUUACGGAUUUCGGCAGAUUCAGUAGUUUUUGUUUAGAUCCUGUUUUUGUAUUAAAAAGUUUAUUAAAUAUAUAUUAAUAUGUAAUUGCAAA